AGCUACCUACCUGGAGGCGGAGCAACGGAACAGUCAGAGAGAGGAACAUGUGAAGCACAUGAGGAGGAGAAGAUGGUGGCUUUGUCAGAUUGCUGCUGAAUUCAGUCGAAUCACUACUGUCCCACUAAUUCAAACAUUUUUCAAAACUGGAUGGUUACACCAGCAAGCUGGACAGCAUUUACCGUACAAAAGAAGAAAUUGCAAAACGGAAAAUUUGAAAACUCAUGGCUACCAUCGACAAGAAUGAUGCCAUCUCAACUUGGAGAGCUUGCAUUCUCAGAGCACUUUCUGUGUAUCUUAAUGAAGACUAUUAAAACCUCAUGAAGGAGUAUACAGCGACAGACUUUGAGAGAGACAUGGCCAAUACUGUCAUUUAAAUCUACAUCGUUAAGCCUGAAGGUGUAGAAGUCUGUGACCCACCAUCAGUUGCUGGACUGA
ensembl:processed_transcript